rnacentral:rRNA from 1 species
GAGUUUGAUCCUGGCUCAGGAUAAACGCUGGCGGCAUGCCUAAUACAUGCAAGUCGAACGGGAGUGCUUGCACUCCAGUGGCGAACGGGUGAGUAACACGUAUCUAAUCUACCUUUUAGUGGGGGAUAACCUUUGGAAACGAAGGAUAAUACCGCAUAAGUUCUUCAUUAUGACAUCAGAAGAAGAGGAAAGAUCCGUUUGGAUCGCUAAAAGAUGAGGAUGCGGCGUAUUAGUUAGUAGGCGGGGUAAAGGCCCACCUAGACGAUGAUACGUAGCCGAACUGAGAGGUUGAUCGGCCACAUUGGGACUGAGAUACGGCCCAGACUCCUACGGGAGGCAGCAGUAGGGAAUUUUUCACAAUGGACGAAAGUCUGAUGAAGCAAUGCCGCGUGAGUGAUGAAGGUCUUCGGAUUGUAAAGCUCUGUUGUAAGGGAAGAAUAAG